UACGGAGGGUGCAAGCGUUAAUCGGAAUUACUGGGCGUAAAGCGCACGCAGGUGGCUGAGUCAGUCGAUUGUGAAAGCCCUGGGCUUAACCUGGGAAUUGCAGUCGAUACUACUCAGCUAGAGUAUGGGAGAGGGCAGUGGAAUUCCCGGUGUAGUGGUGAAAUGCGUAGAUAUCGGGAGGAACACCAGUGGCGAAGGCGACUACCUGGCCUGUUCUUGACGCUGAGGCGCGAAAGCUAGGGGAGCAAACGGG
rnacentral:rRNA from 1 species